UACGGAGGGUGCAAGCGUUAUCCGGAUUCACUGGGUUUAAAGGGUGCGUAGGCGGAUAUGUAAGUCCGUGGUGAAAUCUCUGGGCUUAACCCGGAAACUGCCAUGGAUACUAUGUGUCUUGAAUGUUGUUGAGGUGAGCGGAAUAUGUCAUGUAGCGGUGAAAUGCUUAGAUAUGACAUAGAACACCAAUUGCGAAGGCAGCUCACUAAGCAAAUAUUGACGCUGAGGCACGAAAGCGUGGGGAUCAAACAGGA
rnacentral:rRNA from 1 species